CUGCCCGCUGACCCUGUCCUGCGGGCAGUGCCCACUGCCCGCUGACCCUGUCCUGCGGGCAGUGCCCACUGCCCGCUGACCCUGUCCUGUGGGCACUGCCCACUGCCCACUGCCCACAUGCCCACACCGUUGCAGGUGGCCAUGGGCAGUGCCCACUGCCCGCUGACCGUGUCCCAUGGGCAGUGCCCACUGCCGGCUGACCGUGUCCCGUUGCAGGUGGCCAUGGGCAGUGCCCACUGCCGGCUGACCCUGUCCUGUGGGCAGUGCCCACUGCCCGCUGACCCUGUCCCAUGGGCAGUGCCCACUGCCGGCUGACCGUGUCCCGUUGCAGGUGGCCAUGGGCAGUGCCCACUGCCCGCUGACCGUGUCCCGUUGCAGGUGGCCAUGGGCUACGCGCACUCGCUGGUGAUCGCCCGGGACGAGUCGGAGGCGGAGCAGGAGAAGCUGCGGAAGCUGCCCGAGUACAACCCGCGCACGCUCUGAGCUGUUCUCCCGGAGCACAGCCCCGCCCGUCCCGAUCCCGCUCCCGCUCCCGCUCCCGCUCCCGAGCCCUCGGGGGCUCCUUCCCGGCCCCUUCCCGGCGCCGGGAGCUGCCGCCGGCCGCGGGCCCUCCGGGCUCGCCCCGCCUCGGCUUCCACGGGCUCCGCCCUUGCGUCCUUCUGGUUUGGUUUCUCUCUUCCCGCAGCAUUUCCUUCCCGUUUCCCUUUUUCCCGGCCCCGACCCUUCCCGGCUGCCGGCUCGGGAUCGCCCUGGGGAUCUGAUCCCGCCUUGGGAUCCCUGUAGGGAUUCGGGAUCCCUAAAGAGCAGCUGCGAACGCCUCUUUCCCCGCCCCAAUAUUCCCGGUUUUUUGCUGGUUUUCCCCACUUCGGGUGCUAUCGUUUUCGGGAUUUCCCCCCUCCUGGGGAUCCAGGACCCGGAUUCCAUCCCAGCAGCAUUCCCGGGCUCCCCUCCCCGCUGUGGCAGCCCUCGCCCACCCCGGGGACAUCUCAGGGAUCACGAGGGGAGUCCCAAAGGAGCUUUUUGUUGGUUUGUUUUUUUGGUUUUUCCCGGGAAUUCAGAGUUCCCUCCCCCCGCCCCCCUCCCCGCGGGUGGUUUGGCCUGGGAUCAGCCGGAAUUCCCGAAUUCCCGCAUUCCCGCAUUCCCUCCGUGCCAGGUCACUGUGCUGGAAACUCGAGGUGCCUUCAGGAGCAGAGCCCGGCUCUGCCUCGCGCAGCCCCGGCGUCCCCCCCGGGCCGCUCCUUGGGAUUCUUCUGCAGAAUUCCAUGGAUUUUGGGUCCUUCCCACUCUACCCCGGGCCGCUCCUUGCGGAUUCUUCUGCAGAAUUCCAUGGAUUUUAGAUCCCCCCCGCCUCCCCCGGGCCGCUCCUUGGGGAUUCUUCUGGAUAAUCCAAUGGAUUUUAGGUCCUUCCCGCUCUCCCCCGGGGAGUUUGCAGUAAAAAAAAAGGGGGUUUUGGUCAUUUUUUUGGGAUCGGGGGUUGUUUUCCAGGGUUUUUGGAUGGGGGGGGGGGGAAUCCCGGCGCGGGGGGAGCAGCUGGCUGGAAAAUCCCAAAUCCCGCUUUUUUUAGCAAUAUUUCGGGGUUCGGCCGCAGCCCCGAGGAAUUGGGGUGGGGAAUCACCAAAACCCCACUCGGAGCCCCGGGAGCCUCGGGGGGGCCGUUCCCGAGGGAAUCCCGAGGGGCUCCCGGGCCGUUCCCUAUGGAAUCCCGAGAGGCUCCCGGGCCGUUCCCGAGGGAUUCCCGGGCCGUUCCCGAGGGAUUCCCGGCCGUUCCCGAGGCGUUCCCGGGGCAUUCCCGGCGCGGAGGGGCCGGGCCGGGGGAGGAUCCGGGGGUUUUUGUAUUUCUUGGAGUAAAAAGCGAUGGAACGAGGUCGUUGUGUCCCCCCCGCGCCGCCCCCGGCCCUUCCCGUGCGGUUCGGGUUUAAAUCCCCGGGUUUUGGUGUUUCUCCCUCCUCGCCUCUUUAUUAUUCAAUUUUUUACUUUUCUUUCUUUUUUUCCUCCUUCCCGGGUUUUAUUUUCCCCCCGUUCUCAAUCCCGUUCUUCUCUUUUGCUUCCUUUUAAUCUCUUCAUUUGAAUUUCUGCUUCUUGAGCUGGUAAAUUCCACUCGGAACUGCAUUUUUUCCUUUUCAUUUCUCCUUUUCCGCUUCUUUAUUUUAAUUCAUCUUCUCGCUUUUAGUCCUAAUUUUUAAUUGUUUGUCUCGUUUUUCAAUUCUGCUUUUAAUUUCAUUUUAAUUUCUUUCCACUUGGACCUUUAUUUGAUAUUUUUGACUCUACUUUUUUAUUUCAAUCCAGCUUUAAGGUUUCUUUUACUUUUUUCCCCUCUGAUUUUUGAUUUUAUUUCAUUUCUGAAUUCUCCUUUUCAUUUCUGAAUUCCGCUUUUCAGUUUUUAUUUUGAAAUUCAAGAUUUUAUCCUAUUUUACCCUCAUUUUUUAAUCUUUUUUUCAAUUUUUAAAUUUGAAUUUGAAUUUUUAUUUUUCUUUUUUUCCCUUCAGUUUCACUUUUUUCACUCCCUAUUUUUCAAUGCUCAAUAUUUAUUUUACCUCGUUCCUUUUUGUUUUGCUGCUUUUUAUUUUCACCUCUUGCUCCACACCUUUCCCAAUCAUUUUUUGGCCUGGAAUUUUCGCUUUUAAAACUUUUCUGUUCCGUUUUUUACGCUCCCGUUUUGUUCCUUCCGUUCCCCGAGGGCCCCGCAGCCGACGCUGCUCUUUCCCAAAUCCGCCGGCGCCAUCCUGAACAUCCCCAACAAUUCCCGCUCCCGCUUUUCCCUCUGUGGGGAAUUCCAUCCCUGCGGAAUUCCGGCAGGGCUCGGACACGGCCCCUGUCCCGCUGCCCCGGGGAUGGGCUGGGAUCCCUGGGAUGGGGGCGUGGAUUCCCAAUGGGAAUGGGAAUGGGAAUGGAUGGGAGUGGGAAUGGGAAUGAAUGGGAAUGGGCAGGGGAUGGAUGGGAGUUGGGAGGGGAUGGGAAUGAGGAGGGAAUGGGCGGGGGAUGGAUGGGAAUUGGGAAUGGAUGGGAAUGGGCAGGGAAUGGGAAUGGGAAUGGGCAGGGGAUGGAUGGGAAUUGGGAGGGAAUGGGAAUUGAGAGGGGAUGAGAACGAGGAGGGAAUGGGAAUGGGCAGGAGAUGGAUGGGAGUGGGCAGGGAAUUGAGGGAAUGGGAAUGGGAAUGAGGAGGGAAUGGAUGGGAAUGGGCAGGGAUGGAAGUGAUGGAAUGAGAAUGAGCAGGCCAUGGGAAUUGGGAGGGGAUGGGAAUGGGCAGGGAAUGGGAAUGAAUGGGAAUGGGCAGGGGAUGGAUGGGAAUGAAUGGGAAUGGGCAGGGAAUGGGAAUGGGCAGGGGAUGGAUGGGAAUGGGCAGGGAAUGGGAAUGAAUGGGAAUGGGCAGGGGAUGGAUGGGAAUGAAUGGGAAUGGGCAGGGAAUGGGAAUGGGCAGGGG
rnacentral:lncRNA from 13 species